GUGAAUCUGAAAUUUAGUUGUUCUUCUUUAAAAAUUUAAAUUUAUAGGUACCGUUUGGUUCGAGUAUAAGCAAGAACUAGCUAUUACAGGGAUAGGUACAAAUAUGAGGAUAAAAAAAAUAGUGUUUGUAUGAAAAUUGGGUUGUUCCCGGGGAUAAGAACAAUUUUAGGUAGUUUUAUAUAGAAAAUGAAGGUGUUGGUGGGGAUAACUGAGAUCUACUAUUCUCGGAUAAAAAAUUAGCGUUUGGAUAUAAAGGGGAGGAUAAAGGCCUAUUUAUAUUCCUAUCCCCUAACCAAACGCUGCCAUAGAGCGUACCAUUAUUUUCAGCUCCUAU
rnacentral:lncRNA from 1 species